CUCGCCUCUUCGUCCUCCCAUUCGCCACCCCGUCUUCCCCGCACUCGCCGCCGCCGCCACCCUUCGUCCCGUGUGCUCUGCUUCCUCCCCCCUCCCGUCCCCUCGCUCUCGUGCAGCCGCCGCGGCGCUCCCACAUCUCCUCCCCUUCCUCUCGACCAGGCCGCGCUGGCGCUCGGGGCGCUCGCCGCCGUGCUCCCCGGCGACGACGACGCCCCCGCAGCGGACGGCGCUUGGGAGGCCGACCUCCACGCAAGCCCUAGCACAGCUUAAGGCGAAGCUCGUGGCGCUGGGGCCCGGGCGCGUGGGUGGCGCGGUGCUCGCGGAGCCGCUGCAGAUCCCCGCCGACCAGGCCGCUGUGGCGCUCGGGGCGCUCGCCGCCGUGCUCCCCGGCGAUGACGACGACCCCACAGCGGACGGCGCGUGGGAGGCCGACCUCCACGACGUGCUCCUCUUCCUCUACAUCCAGUCCUACAAGCGCCUUGUGCCAAGGCUUCGAUUCCAUCCAUUUGCUCCCGUGUAGCACGCUGGCUCGCCACGGUUUAUCUGGGAGCAAAGCACCCCGGCCAUCUCUCUCCCCCCCUCCCCCCCCCCCCCCCCCCCCCCCCCCCCCUCUCUCUGAUGUCAACCUCGGUUGCCUUUUAUUUUCAGAUCUGCAAUGGCCUGAAGAAUGAGGCAAUCCUUGGAAGCAGCACGUACAUGUGAUCCCCCUCUCACUCUGAUUCCAAGGUUAUGUUGCUGUUGGUAGGUGUCACUCUGGAUUGCAGAAAACAUGAUAAGAGCAUGGAGAUGGAUUGCUGCAUAUAUAUGCUACCCACACUACCAUUUUCUUGAUCAUGUUUGUAGAGUUGAACUACUCGUUUGAUAUAUCCUUAAUUCUUAUUCCUUUUAAUCUCCAUAUGACAUAGAAGGUUCUGGUUGCUCUAUUAACAUGAUCGGAUUUUUUGUGUGUUUUGCAUACAACAUGAUAAGAGCAUGGAUGGAUUGCUGCAAAUUCAUGUUGUUGUUGCGGGAUCAUGCCGGCCCUCCCUUGUGCUAGCCAGCCAUCAGGACCGACUGCGGUUGGUUCAUGCCGACGCGGCUGUGGCUCCCUGUGGUGCUCCUCUCAUGUUGCAUCUUCUUCCUUGCGGGCUUCUUUGGCUCCCUCCUCUUCACCCAGGAUAUGCAGGGGGAGGAGGACAUGGAGCGGCCACUGCCAAGGGAACGGCCGCUCUAUUUACCCUUAUUGUCGGUUUCACUUGCCUAGCCUAGUUUGAAGAGUUUCCCGGGGGUGGCGAGGAGUACCGGCAUAUCGAGUCCCUGGUGUUUUCCUCUACGAGCUGGGGAGGGCGUGUGGUUCUCUCCUCGUCGGUCUCACUUCUCCCCUUCCUCCUCCAUGGAUUGGAACGAAAAGAAGAAACUACAGCGUCACAUAACUGCAGCAAAGAAGGUACUGCAUGAGAUGUAACAGGGUCGUAUUAUGGAAGCGAAGAACAGAAUCCCUGCUGUUCCACGGAGUGAGUACAGUUAAAGGUAAAAAAAGGAAAAAGAAAGUCUGGAGCUCUCUCGGCUGUACAACAAAGAGGGGUUACUUCACGUACUCAUCAGCAGUGAGGCUAAUAUCAUCUCCAAUCAAGUGAAAAAGCAAGGGCGCAACCUUAGUUUUCUGUUGGAAGACUUCUAUUUCUCUCAUUCCAGAGGUGCUAGCCUGUGCAAGCAGUGACAGUGUACUUUUUAUUGAUCUGAAUCUUCAGGCUUCAUUUUGAAAUUUUGGGCCACGAACGCUUGAUCGCAAAAGUAACAGGUAUCAUGAAAUUGCGGUGGCCAUCCGCGGAUCUACAGUCCCUGGUUUGCUUUGUCGAGUGUCCUGGGCAAGAGGACCAAGUGUGGGCGGGUAGGUAUCGGCAAGGCGGGCUGUCAGCAUGGUGUUGGAGUUAGUCGGUAGUGGUGCACCUACGCCACAUUUCAGAGCCACUGUUAUUCAUCAAGAACAUAAUUUAACUAAAGCUCGUUAAAAAAUUGCCCAUAGAAAUAAUCACUUUGGAUUGGUAGUGUCAAAAGGAUGCAGAACAUUUGUAACAUUUCUUCCCAUAUUCAUGAGACUUUCACUCUGCUGUUGCAUUAGUCAAGUUUAAUUUCAUUACAUAUGUGUGCAUGUAUCAAUUUUCAUAUUUAAAGUGAUAUAUUUAAGAAUUAUCAGAAAUUUUGCCAAAUUUGCUGGGCACAAAACAGAGAUCUGGAAGCAGGACAAACGUCACUGAUAUUUUGUUGGUCAUUUUUGGUGUCGCAUCUCAAAUGGAAUGGCACUCAUGGAGGCAAUUGAACCAAGCUAUGGCAUCGUAGUUUUAUCUCUCUAUUGCCACUGUUGGCUUUUGCUCUCUUAUGUUCCUGCUCAUAUUACUGAACUUAAUGUUAGCUAAUUAGCUUUUGUAAUUAUACAACCGUGCUGAAUUGGAUGUUGCCUUGCUUCUGAGACGGGUUAGCUUUUAUAAUCUCAUGACCAUUGAAUUUGAUGAUGUUACACUUCUGGUACAGUGUGGAUGUUUCUUCUUACCAUUGAACUCGAAAUUGGUUGUCCUGUUACAUCUGCUAAAUUUGCCUUCAUACUAAUGCAUCAUGCCGCUUGAUCUUCCAUGGCUUGACCAUAUCGUUAGGACCGGCACCCUCGCGUCAAGGCGCGUUGCCGAUCUAGUAAAUACUAUUGUUUGAUGUGUUCUUAUCAUUCUAGAGGAGGGCAAAAAUACAUAGACAAUGCGCAGCGGUUGCAUGGGCGUUCUAGGGUUACCAGGUCAUUUCUUUGCUUCAGGAAGACACUCAACCAGACUCAGUUUGAUCUGGGUUCUAUACCAUUAAACUAACCAAGCCUGGUGCAGGCGGACUUCCCAUGCAUGCAGGUGGUCAAAUGUCAGUUCUCUAUCCGUUUGUUUGGUACGCCCUUCCACAAUAAAAGAAGAGAAGAUACCUAAUCUUGGAUGAGAAGGUAAUGUGAUCAUGUUAACACUGCAUGCCAAUAAGACGUAGGUCAGAGGCCACAACAAAACUGCACCCACUUGUCCUCCGGCCUCCUCCGGUGAUGGCAACUUGUGAGCUGUAAUGUAAGUGUGACGUCCUUUGUCAAGACUGCAAUAAUAGUAUAUGCAUGCUCCCUGUGAUCUGCAUGCAUCAUGCCCACACCAACCAAAGGUUAUAUGUUCGGAAAACAAGAUGAAAUUGCACACCUUUUAGUUGUUUGGAGUUUUCUUUAAUAAUCUUUGUCAACCGAAGUUAUAACCUUGAAACUGCGCAGUUUUAUCAUAACAUUACUGCAAUGACUAGUUCGUACCAUAAAUGUGGAGUGAGGUGGGGAUGAAUACAGUUGAAUUUUAGUCCAAAAGUAGACAACUUAGCAAUAGCCGGCCUCUAGUACAUACUUCCUCCAUCCCAUAAUAUAAGAUCGUUUUGCAAGCUACGGCGGCUAAAGUUAGUGAUUAUAAACGUCAGGAUAAGAGCGACCACUACCCAAAAUAUGGGGAUAGGAAACGGCUAAUUGCACAUGCCAUGGCACCUCUCGUCACCAGUGGCAUGCCCAGUGCUCACUUCACCUGUGCUAGUUGCUGCACCACGCCACCACAUCCAGACCCCAAACCCCAGAGCUCAUAUAAGUAACACACGCGGUGCCUUGCGAAAAUAGAUCACGUAUACUUCACAGCCCACUUCGCUCCUCGCAAAAGCUUCUCUGUGUUUCCCUUCCGCGACUUGGACACAGCAGCAAUGAGAUCGGCGCUCGGUCUCUCCCAUUGGUGUUCCUUGCUGCUUCUCCUCUCGCUGGUGACGGCUCCGCGGGGGCUCGAGGUCGGCGACCUCUUCAGCCAAGGGAAACCACCGGCGGUGAAGCAGGACUGCAGCCGGACAUGCGAGUCCAAGUUUUGCACGGAUUUCCUGUUUAUUUUUCAGUUGAAUAAUGGGCUGGACUGAAGUAACUGACGCUCGUUUGGCCUUGGUUUCCGGCACGCCACCGGCCUCCCUCCGGAAGUCCCGCCUGUGCUGAGGUACGGGAAAUACUGCGGAAUCCUCUACAGCGGCUGCCCCGGCGAGAAGCCCUGCGACGCCCUGGACGCCUGCUGCAUGGUCCACGACCACUGCGUCGCCGCCAACAACAAUGACUACCUGAACACCAGGUGCAACGAGAACCUGCUGGGCUGCCUCGACGGGGUGAACCCGGCGGGGCCGACGUUCCCGGGGAACAAGUGCAGCGUCGGCGAGACGGCGUUCGUCAUAAAGGGUGUCAUCGAGGCGGCCGUGCUCGCAGGGAAGAUCCUUCACAAGCGCGAC